GAUGAACGCUGGCGGCGUGCCUAAUACAUGCAAGUCGAGCGAACAGACGAGGAGCUUGCUCCUCUGACGUUAGCGGCGGACGGGUGAGUAACACGUGGAUAACCUACCUAUAAGACUGGGAUAACUUCGGGAAACCGGAGCUACUACCGGAUAAUAUAUUGAACCGCAUGGUUCAAUAGUGAAAGACGGUUUUGCUGUCACUUAUAGAUGGAUCCGCGCCGCAUUAGCUAGUUGGUAAGGUAACGGCUUACCAAGGCCACGAUGCGUAGCCGACCUGGGAGGGUGAUGCGCCACACUGGAACUGAGACACGGUCCUGACUCCUACGGGAGGCAGCAGUAGGGAAUCUUCCGCAAUGGGCGAAAGCCUGACGGAGCAACGCCGCGUGAGUGAUGAAGGUCUUCGGAUCGUAAAACUCUGUUAUGAGUGAAGAACAAAUGUGUAAGUAACUAUGCACUUCUUGACGGUACCUAAUCAGAAAGCCACGGCUAACUACGUG
rnacentral:rRNA from 1 species